GAUGAACGCUAGCUACAGGCUUAACACAUGCAAGUCGAGGGGCAGCACGGAGAUAGCUUGCUAUCUUGGGUGGCGACCGGCGCACGGGUGAGUAACGCGUAUCCAACCUGCCCAUUACUCUGGGAUAGCCUUGCGAAAGUAAGAUUAAUACCGGAUGUUGUUAAAAACCCGCAUGAGUUUUUAACCAAAGAUUAUUGGUAAUGGAUGGGGAUGCGUGACAUUAGGUAGUUGGUGAGGUAACGGCUCACCAAGCCUACGAUGUCUAGGGGUUCUGAGAGGAAGGUCCCCCACACUGGAACUGAGACACGGUCCAGACUCCUACGGGAGGCAGCAGUGAGGAAUAUUGGUCAAUGGACGAGAGUCUGAACCAGCCAAGUAGCGUGCAGGACGACGGCCCUCUGGGUUGUAAACUGCUUUUAGUUGGGAAUAAAAAGAGGGACGUGUCCCUAAUUGUAUGUACCAUCAGAAAAAGGACCGGCUAAUUCCGUGCCAGCCGCCGCGGUAACAC
rnacentral:rRNA from 1 species